AGUUUUAUUCAUUCUAUUGUUUUUCUCUAUUUCUUUGCACUUUAUUUCCUUGGAGUACAAAAUGAAGCAGGGCAAAGGCUAAUAGAGCCUUGCCAACAGAACGCACGUAUCAUAGCAAGCACCCUCUUCCAACAACACAAGAGAAGACUCUACACAUGGAC